rnacentral:lncRNA from 1 species
GGACACCCCCCUCCUCCUCCCCUGCCGAGCGAUCCUGAAGCCGGGAUCAAGCGACUAAACAAGUCCGGCUCAGAGUCGUAGUAGGCGCUCUACUCCUCCCGCUUCGAGCCCGACCUUCCGCCGAUCCCCCAGCGACGGCUCUCCCCGCGCAGACUCCCUCAGCACAGCCCGCACCAAAAGCGCCCUGAAGCUCCCAACAUGGCCGCCGCCUUCAUCUUCCCUCAGAGCCGCCCCCCCCCCCUCCGCGCUCCAGCCGCGAAAUGGAUGCCGGGAGGGGAGGUGAUCUCGCGAGAGCUGGCGGGCGGGGGCGCGGCGGGACGUGCUGAGGGGAGGGGAGCCAUUAGGGCCGCCCGGGGAAUUGCUGUGGUGGUCCGGGAGUUCUCAGCGCUCCGGUCCGCCCCGCCUGUGGAGCGCGGCUUCCCCGGCGGCGGAGUGGCUCGCCGGGGCUCGGCUGUGCCUUGUCGCGCUGUCUCUGCCUGGUGGAAGGGCGAUGUGUGGGCUGAGGCGGGCCGGGCCGAGGCCGGCGUCUCCCCUCAGCGCCCCGACAGCCGGAGCUCGGAAACCCCCGCCCUGCCCCAGCCUGCGGACACCGGGCCGUGCCAAAGUAGGUGGGGCGAUUGGGGGUUUUGGGGUUUUUUUGAGAGGCUCAAGUUGCCUAGCAUUAAAUGCUAAGUUCUUGUGAGCCUUAAGAAGCAAUUUAGAACCCAGUCGUGCAGAGAGCUGCAAAAGUCUAGGUGCUGAUAACGGUUUAGUCCGUAUUUCCAGGGGGAUUCCCAGUUGAGAUAGGCGGAUCUUGCCAAGCAACACGAAGCAGUGUCCCUAUUGAUGAAAUCUUGACUAAAGUUUGGAAUUAAUCCUGAAGAAAAUACCCUUUUAGUACAAGUAAACAUUGAAAAAAAAAUAAUCGUGAUUUAGAGAUUGCACUUAAGCUGUGCACCUUGUGUAAAGAAUCACGAAUGAGGGGUGCUGUUGAGGGCUCUGCCUGUUAAAACGUGAUCCUGCCUCAGCUCCACCCCUCCCUUUUAAUAUUUGCAGCAGCCUAGAAAAUUACACGCAACAAAAAAUAACUGAUGGAAAGGGCACUUAAUAGCUUUUGUUGCAGCAACCGGACACUAAUAUGUUGCAAAGAUUGAGUAAGUAUUUUAUUCAGGAUAGGGCUUGGAAAUGCAAUGGUGAGCCUGCUUUUUCUGGAAGCGCCUGCGUGUUUCUAAGUAGAAGCUAUGAGAGACUUCUGGAAAGCAUGUAUUUGAAAGAAACCCAUGUCACAUACAAGAAAAACAGCGCUUCUUUCUAAGCACUUUCACUUUCUAGACAACAAAAAGAUCCUUGUCUAUGUGAACUGUUAUUACUCCCUGCAGCUCAACACGGCAGUGGUAUUUCUGUUACGAAGAAUUUAGGCUGGAAACAGGGCACGGGAUUUAACAAUGUUGAACUGAACAGCAACUUAAGUUUUGGGGAGGAUUUUCUUUCUGAGCCAAUUUUAAAACCUUGGUCAUAAGUUAACUUUCCCAGUAGAUGUUCUCUGUUUCAAAUCAAAGAUAAUUCAGGAAAGAUUGUAUUUUAGGAGAUCAGAUGAAAUGAUCACAGUGGUCUCUUUGACUUUUUUAUUCUAUGCAUAUUUAACUCCUGAAAAUGAAAGAGCAACAAAUAUGUUUAGAAAUAUGUUUUCUAUGAUGAAAAGCAUGUAAAUAUUUGAAAAAAAAAAUAAUAAAAGAAUGAAUACAAAAGUACCCA